UUAAAUUGUUUAAGCAAGAGUAAAUUUGAAAAAUCAUAAGUUGAACCUCCCCAUCUUCUUCCUCCUCCUUUCCCCUUCAUCCUAGACUCUCUCACUCUCCCUCUCUCCUUCCUUCUUCUGAAUAUAUUAUUCGCAUCAGCCAUGAAAAUCGCUAACAUCAAUCAUAAAAACAUUUAAACAAACAAAACUUUCCAAUCUCCAAGCUUAAAAACAUUAGAAACAGGCAAAGGUUGUUAUUAAAAAUAAUAAAAUAAUAAAAUCUUAUAGAUUAUCCGACAACUGAAUGUUCUGUGAACUAAAUAUAUGAUUAGGGGAAAAAUAGAAAAUUGCUCCAUAAUAUGCUGCGAAGGAACACAUGCAACGCUGCCAUCGACCAUGAAAGUCCAAACAAUUUCUCCAAAAGCCACAAACCCUAACUCUCCCCUUCCUAGGGGCUAUUAAUGUCCAUACUUCAAUUGCUUCAAUCCUCACAAUGAUAAAAAGCCCUAGCUUUAUAAAAAAACAAAUUAAACUCAUAUACAACACCGUAGCAAUGUAGGGUUUUGACACAAAUUAUAAAAAUACAACCUCCAAACUUUCAAAUUGAAUACCUAAAAGAAAAAUUCAAUAAAGUUCACAGAUUGAAAUCCUAGGUCUUCAAAUCUAAGGAUAACUACAAAACUUACGAAUUAAUUGAAUAGCUGAGCCGAUGGAUCGAUGAAUUAACCUUCGGCGCUUUUGAAUUGAACAACAACAGACAAGAAGUAGUCGAAUAACAACAUAGAUCGAUGAACAGAGAUGAGAAAGAAUAACUAGCAAUAUCCAGAUUAGGCAAAAAAUAGAAGAAGAAGAAGAAGAAAGUCGCCGGUAACCCUCCUCCUAAGCCGGCGGCGCGCCGUCCAGAUAACUAGUCCGGAAAGUAUUAGAGUCCUCCUCCUUGUCCGCUGCUACUGCCGCCAGCACCAUUGUCGAAAAUCUCCGCUUGGAGACCGAUUCAUCGACUGUGAAUGCUACCCUUUCCGGUACCGGCCGUUUUGAUCGAGGACCGAUGGGGACAGAGAACAGCGGUGGAUGUAGCGUCGGAGCCCUCGGACGAGUCACGACAGCCGCCAAAGAGGAUUUGAAGGAAUCGCCUAAGAGAAAGUCGAGGCGAACGAAGAAUGGUCACGAAAAGGUGUAAUCUCCGACGGAGUUAGAAACCCUAGAUUUUUUGAUCUUGUACUUCUUCUUUACCGUGUCCAUGCCGUUGUUUGCCGUUUAAGCCUUUUGUUGUUUUUGAUCAAUAUUAAUGUUUAAUAUAAAGUGAAUUAACGAAAUUGCCC
rnacentral:lncRNA from 1 species